rnacentral:rRNA from 1 species
CGAACCGGCGACGUGUCUAUCAAGUGUCUGCCUUAUCAACUGUCGAUGGUAGUUUAUGUGCCUACCAUGGUUGUAACGGGUAACGGAGAAUAAGGGUUCGACUCCGGAGAGGGAGCCUGAGAAACGGCUACCACAUCCAAGGAAGGCAGCAGGCGCGCAAAUUACCCACUCUCGGCAUGAGGAGGUAGUGACGAAAAAUAACGAGACCGUUCUCUAUGAGGCCGGUUAUCGGAAUGGGUACAAUUUAAACCCGUUAACGAGGAUCUAUGAGAGGGCAAGUCUGGUGCCAGCAGCCGCGGUAAUUCCAGCUCUCAAAGUGUAUAUCGUCAUUGCUGCGGUUAAAAAGCUCGUAGUUGGAUCUGCGACUCAAGACUUGGUCCGCCCACUGGGUGAGAACUGGGCUCCUGGGCUAGUUCUGCUGGUUUUCCCUGCGUUGCCUUCAUCGGUAGCGUAGGGUGGCUAGCGAGUUUACUUUGAAAAAAUUAGAGUGCUUCACGCGGGCUUAUGUCUGAAUACUCGUGCAUGGAAUAAUAGAAUAGGAUCUCGGCUCUAUUUUGUUGGUUUUCUGAUCUGAGAUAAUGGUUAAGAGGGACGGACGGGGGCAUUCGUAUCGCUGCGUGAGAGGUGAAAUUCUUGGACCGUAGCGAGACGUCCGACUGCGAAAGCAUUUGCCAAGAAUGUCUUCAUUAAUCAAGAACGAAAGUCAGAGGUUCGAAGGCGAUCAGAUACCGCCCUAGUUCUGACCGUAAACGAUACCAACUAGCGUUCCGUCGGCGGUAAAUACGCCUUGACGGGCAGCUUCCCGGAAACGAAAGUCUUUCGGUUCCGGGGGAAGUAUGGUUGCAAAGCUGAAACUUAAAGAAAU